AUCGAUACAGUGUUAAUAGGCAUAGCAAUUUUUCGUGUUGCAGGUAGUAUUUUGUGUACUUUUCGAUG
rnacentral:tRNA from 1 species